ensembl:lncRNA novel transcript
CAGUUCAGAUCAUGCCCUGUGCAUAUCCAGUUCCCCCGGUAGGCACGGCUCCUCCUUUCACCUCAAUGCCCCGCUUUCCGCUCGGCCCACACUGGACUCUUGCUACCUCUUGUUUUGGCUUAUGUUUAAUCUUACUUUUUUAAAGCAACAUCUUCUGAUUAUGAAAUAAUUUAUACUUUUUUUUUGCAGAGAAUGUGGAAAAUACAGAAAAGUAUAAGCAGAAGCAUAAAAAUUAUUCACAGUUGCACCCUUGGAGGGAGCUGUCCUAUAAAUCUUGAUGGACUUUCAUCAAAUUCAAAGAAAAAAAAAAGAUUCCACUGGGAUUUAAUUCAGAUUGCAUUUCACCGAAAAAUUACAAGGAUUAACAACAAGGAUUAAUAGCAUUGCUGCAUUCAUUAUGGCAACCCAAGGUUAUGUCUCUCUAUUGACUAUUCUCUUUAAUUAAUCUGUGUAAAAAGUUUGCAUUUUUAAUAUAGGUCUUGGAUAUUUCUUAUUAGUGUUCUUUAUAUUUUUUUCCAAUACUCUUAAGAAUGCAUUUUUCUCCCUAUAUUUUCUGCUUGUUGUUAGAAUAGAAACAGUAUUUAUUUUGGAGAUUUUUGUAUUUUUAUCUUGUAUCUGACCCCUUCCCUAAUUUUUAUGAAUACUAAGAAUUUUACAGUCAGUACUUUUAUAUUAUCUUGGUGCAUAAUCAUAAUGUAGUCUGUAAGUAACAAACAUUUUGUUUCCUUCUUUCUAUUGUAGAGUUUGAGAAGUCGUCAGUGUGUAGUCCUGUUACCUUAAUUGUUUCUGAGUUAUGGGUUGAAUUUAUUUUGAAAUUUCAAAAAACUUCAAAGGGUAGUAUGUUAUUUUUGUGUUAAUCAAAAUGAACAAUGGGUUUCAAAAGCUUGAACAACGUCAUCUUGGGAGUGCCAAAUGAAUAGGAUGUCCUGUAUGUCAGGAGCAUGCCCACACUUUUCUUGCUAGGGUGAGUUUAUUGUCCCUGAUGAAUCCCAGGAGUACUAGUCCAUGAUGCUCUUAUUCCCUGGUGCUUUAACAUGCAGUGCAGCCGGAGUUGGCCUGAACUUUAGGAAAUGAGGUCGUAAGUCGAAAGAACAGGGAAUUGAGAAAGCACACAGAAGCAGCCAGGGCCAACAUUUUCCCCUAAACAAGCCAAUCAACAAAAAGCAAUGCCAAACAAGCCCCUUUGAAACUUUCAAAGUCCUCAUCCUAGUACCUUCCUAGCACUCUAGGAGACAUCUUUCAGCUGUUGAUUUAUGAACGCUGAGAGGCACGUGGAGGAAUUAAUGGAGGUAAAUAUCUAACUUAAAAAAUCUUCAGUAGGCAUUUUUAGACAAUCCUCCUUGAAAGAAAAGUGUGGAUGCUCUGUGCGUGUAUUGACUGCACCUGCAGGGGUAUAGCUGGAGAACACCCAGUGAGCAUCUUCAGGAGCCAAGUCACGCAGGGGCUUAGCUCUCAGUCCAUUGCGACAGUUGCCAUGAUGCCUUCUGACCAUUAAACACUUUGAACUCUU